AAGUGGAGCAAUCCAUGAGUAUAGUGGCGACCGGGUGAGUAACACGUGACUACCUGCCCUUGAGUGGGGGAUAACCUCGGGAAACCGAGGCUAAUACCGCAUAAUAUCGCAAGAUCAAAGGAGCAAUCCGCUUUUGGAGGGGGUCGCGGCUGAUUAGCUAGUUGGCGGGGUAACGGCCCACCAAGGCAAUGAUCGGUAGCCGGCCUGAGAGGGCGCACGGCCACACUGGAACUGAAACACGGUCCAGACUCCUACGGGAGGCAGCAGUGGGGAAUUUUGCGCAAUGGGGGAAAUCCUGACGCAGCAACGCCGCGUGGAGGAUGAAGCCCCUUGGG
rnacentral:rRNA from 1 species